AUAUAUAUAUAUAUAUAGGGUGGGGAUCUAUAGAGAAUCCCCUUAGUGUAAAGAUUAAAGAAUUAAUCUUAACCAUCAAUUCAGUCAUGAUUCACGGUCAAGAUUACACCCGUUCUCUAAUUAAUCCAAUUUUUAAAUUUUCUGAAUAAUCAAAAUUUAUUGCUGAAAAUUCGCUGAGGGGUAUAAUUGGUGUUUCUUCUAUUUACUGAACAGACCAUCCGAAAUUAACGCUGGUAAUUAAUCAUUUACCACUCCAAGAAACACGUCUCAACAGAGCACACGAUGUUGACUCUCCAUCUACAGCAGCGGCGACUGGAUUUCGACGAUGAUUGCUUCAGUGUUUCGACGUUGAAUAUCAUAUACGCCUACGGCAUCACCGCCCUUCUCCUUCUCUCAUCCGCUUGUUUCCUCGAAAAUCAGAUUUUCGUGACUAUUCGGUCAUCUUCUAUUCGAUCUAUCGGUUAACUCUCCUCGAUGAAGCUCUUUCUCUCGCUCUGAUUUGAUUGGACUUUAUCUGGCUGCAUUUGGUGUAUGGAAGAGUCUGAUUCCGUGAGCAAGACAAGAUGAUUGGUUUAGUGAAAGUUGUCAAGGUGGGAUGGGUGCUCGUCCGAGAAAGUGAUAUGCAAACAAGAUUUGUGGCUUCAAAAUCACUUGAACAACUAUUCAUAGUGUUGAAGUAGAUAUUCGAUUACUUUGUUCACUUAUUCAUAAUAUGUUCAUUCAUAAAAAUCUGUAAUAUAUUUAUUUAAUUUAACUUAUUGUUUGGAA